CGAGAUUAACGAAUUUAAAACAACUCUUAAUUACGUAUAUAAUUAACUGUUUGCUUUUCAAAGGCACAGUUUGGCGCCGUGGGUGGUGUGUACUACACCAGCGCCAUUACGGCGACAUACGGAACCCACAGAACCCUUUCCCGCCUGUAAUGCCAGUAUUGCUUCCAGUUCGCGCAUGUGCAUCGAAAAAAAUUAAACGUGUAGUUCUGUAACUACAGGAAACAAUGCGUGGUCCAAAUUUUUUUAUUCUUUUAUCAUUCUUCGGGGUGAUUAAGGGUACCAGCUUUAUGAUCGUAUUACAUACUUUAUUGACGCAAAAAUCAGUGCGCAUGCGCGAGCUGGAAGCAUACUGGCAUCACAGCUUCCCGCCACUUUCCGCCAUUAUGGAGGCAAACUAGACGCCUACGCGUCCGUUUUUACAGUAAAAGAUUAAUUAUGUGUUUAAUCAUGUGUGAUUACGCGAAUACUUGUUUAACUUUGUUUGCUAAUUUCUAAUUAUGACCGAGUUCAACAGAGAGAGAGAGAGAGAGAGAAGAUUCCUGAUGAUUUCCCUUGGUUACCAAGUAUGAAAAGUGUAGAGUGGGUCUACUUCAACGGUGCUCUUUUCAGGGUAACACGGUCAAUCAGUGAAUGGAAAGAUGGUCAAGUGGACAACAAUUCUUGAUGUCGGCAGGUAUCAAUGAGUGAAUAUUUUGGCCAUCAGUAGCAUUCACAUGAAGCAUGUCUGAUUGUCGUCGGUUUGGAACAUCAGGCUGAAGGGCUGGAUAGAUGGGUACGUCAGUUGGUAGAGCUUAGCUAACGAUGGGACUGAUAAGGAACAUUCUUUAAUUGAUAUUCUCUAGUUAUUAUGAACGUUGACACACAGAUUGGGCCAUCAAAAAUAGUAAACAUACAUGUAUAUAUUUUUGUAUAUUAAGACGGUUUGUUUCUAUUUGAUCGAUCCGUGUGUAUUGCAAUAUUCAUUUGAAAGAGGUCACGAUACUUUGAGAUAGAAACACAGGAUGAUGAAGAAUAGUUAUUCAACAAAAUAACUGAUUAGAAUUAGAAUUCUAUUAGAAUUAGAAAAUUGUUUUCUUGGAAAGUUGAGUUUUCGCUUACACAGUCUCCUCUAUUUGCAGCCUUUAAUUAUGGCUAAAUUAUUUCUAAAAGGAAAGGCGUUUCGGAAUACUAGAUGAGGACUGGAUAGAUCAGUUGCUAGAAUAGGAUCCGGGGAAAGGAAGAUUCAUAUUCAAAAAACAACAUUAAAUUCACAUUAGGCACGUGACAUUAAAUGUCGAUUUUCGAGUGCAAUUUCCAUGAGAAGUAGGUCGUAAACUCCCGUUACGAGAAUUGGUAAGGCGAAGAGUCACCGUGGAAGA